CAAGUCGAGGGGCAGCGAGAAUUAGUUUACUAAUUUGUCGGCGACCGGCGCACGGGUGCGUAACGCGUAUGCAACCACCUUUUACUGGGGGAUAGCCCGGAGAAAUUCGGAUUAAUACCCCAUAGUAUCUAUUAAUGGCAUCAUUUGAUAGAUUAAAGUUUCGGCGGUAAAAGAUGGGCAUGCGUCCUAUUAGCUAGAUGGUAAGGUAACGGCUUACCAUGGCUACGAUAGGUAGGGGGCCUGAGAGGGUAGUCCCCCACACUGGUACUGAGACACGGACCCAGACUCC
rnacentral:rRNA from 1 species